GACGAACGCUGGCGGCGUGCUUAACACAUGCAAGUCGAACGCUGAAGCUUGGUGCUUGCACUGGGUGGAUGGGUGGCGAACGGGUGAGUAAUACGUGAGUAACCUGCCCUUGACUCUGGGAUAAGCCUGGGAAACUGGGUCUAAUACUGGAUACGACAUGUCACCGCAUGGUGGUGUGUGGAAAGGGUUUUACUGGUUUUGGAUGGGCUCACGGCCUAUCAGCUUGUUGGUGGGGUAAUGGCUCACCAAGGCGACGACGGGUAGCCGGCCUGAGAGGGUGACCGGCCACACUGGGACUGAGACACGGCCCAGCCUCCUACGGGAGGCAGCAGUGGGGAAUAUUGCACAAUGGGCGGAAGCCUGAUGCAGCGACGCCGCGUGAGGGAUGACGGCCUUCGGGUUGUAAACCUCUUUCAGCACGGAAGAAGCGAAAGUGACGGUACGUGCAGAAGAAGCGCCGGCUAACUACGUG
rnacentral:rRNA from 1 species